GAUUUGCCCAACAAGUCUUUGGACUCGUUUAGUAUUUCGAAUGUGGAUGAUGGCUCAAACUGGUUAUGGGUUCAUUUUUGUGCAGCAUAUAUUUUCAGUGCAGUCGUCUGCUAUCUUCUUUACAAUGAGUACAGUUAUAUCUCAUCAAGAAGAAUUGCUCACUUCUAUUCAUCCAAACCUCAGCCUAAUCAGUUCACAGUAUUGGUUCGUG